rnacentral:rRNA from 1 species
AUGAACGCUAGCGGCAGGCUUAACACAUGCAAGUCGAGGGGCAGCGGGGUGUAGCAAUACACUGCCGGCGACCGGCGCACGGGUGCGUAACGCGUAUGCAACCUACCCAUAACAGGGGCAUAACACUGAGAAAUUGGUACUAAUUCCCCAUAACAUUCGAAGAGGCAUCUCUUUGGGUUGAAAACUCCGGUGGUUAUGGAUGGGCAUGCGUUGUAUUAGCUAGUUGGUGAGGUAACGGCUCACCAAGGCGACGAUACAUAGGGGGACUGAGAGGUUAACCCCCCACAUUGGUACUGAGACACGGACCAAACUCCUACGGGAGGCAGCAGUGAGGAAUAUUGGUCAAUGGACGCAAGUCUGAACCAGCCAUGCCGCGUGCAGGAUGACGGCUCUAUGAGUUGUAAACUGCUUUUGUACGAGGGUAAACUCACCUACGUGUAGGUGACUGAAAGUAUCGUACGAAUAAGGAUCGGCUAACUCCGUGCCAGCAGCCGCGGUAAUACGGAGGAUUCAAGCGUUAUCCGGAUUUAUUGGGUUUAAAGGGUGCGUAGGCGGUUAGAUAAGUUAGAGGUGAAAUCCCGGGGCUUAACUCCGAAAUUGCCUCUAAUACUGUUUGACUAGAGAGUAGUUGCGGUAGGCGGAAUGUAUGGUGUAGCGGUGAAAUGCUUAGAGAUCAUACAGAACACCGAUUGCGAAGGCAGCUUACCAAACUAUAUCUGACGUUGAGGCACGAAAGCGUGGGGAGCAAACAGGAUUAGAUACCCUGGUAGUCCACGCAGUAAACGAUGAUAACUCGCUGUCGGCGAUACACAGUCGGUGGCUAAGCGAAAGCGAUAAGUUAUCCACCUGGGGAGUACGUUCGCAAGAAUGAAACUCAAAGGAAUUGACGGGGGCCCGCACAAGCGGAGGAACAUGUGGUUUAAUUCGAUGAUACGCGAGGAACCUUACCCGGGCUUAAAUUGCAGAUGAAUUACGGUGAAAGCCGUAAGCCGCAAGGCAUCUGUGAAGGUGCUGCAUGGUUGUCGUCAGCUCGUGCCGUGAGGUGUCGGGUUAAGUCCCAUAACGAGCGCAACCCCUACCGUUAGUUGCCAUCAGGUCAAGCUGGGCACUCUGGCGGGACUGCCGGUGUAAGCCGAGAGGAAGGUGGGGAUGACGUCAAAUCAGCACGGCCCUUACGUCCGGGGCUACACACGUGUUACAAUGGUAGGUACAGAGGGUCGCUACCCCGUGAGGGGAUGCCAAUCUCGAAAGCCUAUCUCAGUUCGGAUUGGAGGCUGAAACCCGCCUCCAUGAAGUUGGAUUCGCUAGUAAUCGCGCAUCAGCCAUGGCGCGGUGAAUACGUUCCCGGGCCUUGUACACACCGCCCGUCAAGCCAUGGGAGCUGGGGGUGCCUGAAGUUCGUGACCGCAAGGAGCGACCUAGGGCAAAACCGGUGACUGGGGCU